GAUGAACGCUGGCGGCGUGCCUAAUACAUGCAAGUCGAGCGAACGGACGAGAAGCUUGCUUCUCUCAUGAUAGCGGCGGACGUGUGAGUAACACGUGGAUAACCUACCUAUAAUACUGGGAUCACUUCGGGAAACCGUAUCUAAUCCCGUAUAAUAUUUUGAACCGCAUGGUUCAAAAGUGAAAGACGGUCUUGCUGUCACUUAUAGAUGGAUCCGCGCUGCAUUAGCUAGUUGGUAAGGUAACGGCUUACCAAGGCAACGAUGCAUAGCCGACCUGAGAGAGUGGUAGCCGACAUGGGAAGUGAACCACGGUCCAGGCUCCUACGGGAGGCAGCAGUAGGGAAUCUUACGCAGUGGGGGAGAGCCUUACGGAACAAGGGGAAGCGAGUGGUAGAGGUGUUGGGUUCGGAAUGCUGGCUUAUUAGGGGAGAACAGAUGUGGAAGGUGAUGAGCACAUCGUGACGGUACCUAGUCAGAAAGCAACGGCUAACUACGUG
rnacentral:rRNA from 1 species